AUUGAACGCUGGCGGCAUGCCUUACACAUGCAAGUCGAACGGCAGCACGGACUUCGGUCUGGUGGCGAGUGGCGAACGGGUGAGUAAUACAUCGGAACGUGCCCAGUAAUGGGGGAUAACGCAGCGAAAGUUGUGCUAAUACCGCAUACGCCCUGAGGGGGAAAGUGGGGGAUCGAAAGACCUCAUGUUAUUGGAGCGGCCGAUGGCUGAUUAGCUAGUUGGUGAGGUAAAGGCUCACCAAGGCGACGAUCAGUAGCUGGUCUGAGAGGAUGACCAGACACACUGGAACUGAGACACGGUCCAGACUACUACGGGAGGCAGCAGUGGGGAAUAUUGCACAAUGGGCGCAAGCCUGAUGCAGCCAUGCCGCGUGUAUGAAGAAGGCCUUCGGGUUGUAAAGUACUUUCAGCGGGGAGGAAGGCGAUGUGGUUAAUAACCGCGUCGAUUGACGUUACCCGCAGAAGAAGCACCGGCUAACUCCGUGCCAGCCGCCGCAGUAA
rnacentral:rRNA from 1 species